AUUGAACGCUGGCGGCAGGCCUAACACAUGCAAGUCGAACGGUAACAGGAAGCAGCUUGCUGCUUCGCUGACGAGUGGCGGACGGGUGAGUAAUGUCUGGGAAGCUGCCUGAUGGAGGGGGAUAACUACUGGAAACGGUAGCUAAUACCGCAUAAUGUCGCAAGACCAAAGAGGGGGACCUUCGGGCCUCUUGCCAUCGGAUGUGCCCAGAUGGGAUUAGCUUGUUGGUGGGGUAACGGCUCACCAAGGCGACGAGCCCUAGCUGGUCUGAGAGGAUGACCAGCCACACUGGAACUGAGACACGGUCCAGACUCCUACGGGAGGCAGCAGUGGGGAAUAUUGCACAAUGGGCGCAAGCCUGAUGCAGCCAUGCCGCGUGUAUGAAGAAGGCCUUCGGGUUGCAAAGUACUUUCAGCGGGGAGGAAGGGAGUAAAGUUAAUACCUUUGCUCAUUGACGUUACCCGCAGAAGAAGCACCGGCUAACUCCGUG
rnacentral:rRNA from 1 species